UCAUGAUAGACACAAUGAAAUCCACCCUCAAAGAGGUAAGGCGGGGCUCAGGCAGCUGGUGUCCAGCCACUGUCGCCCACUCUGGUCCCACCUCACCCAUCUCUUCUCAUGCACUGGGAAAGACCCCUGGUCUGCCCCCAGGCCCAACAAGUGACCACCAGGAUCUAUCAGGCCUCAUGCUCCAGUGAUCAGUCCCUAGAGGCCUGGGGACACAUGUAAUCAGAAUUUAAGAAACAGAGACCUUUGGUGGGGAGGUUCUUUACCAUCCUCAAGUACCCACCCCUCCUUCUUGGGGCCAGGCACAAUUAGGUGACCCAACUGCCAGAGACAGUCCCACAUUUUUUGAGAGACAGGGUCUCAUUCUGUUGCUCAGGCUCAGUCAUAGCUCACUGCAGCCUCAAACUCCUGGGCUCAAAUGAUCCUCCCACCUCAGCCACCUGAGUAGGUGGCACUACAGGCGCAUGCCAUCAUGCCCAGCUAAUAGUCACACUUUUUUUUUUUUUUUGAGAUGGAGUCUCACUCUGUCGCUCAGGCUGGAGUGCAGUGGGAAGAUCUCAGCUUACUGUAACCUCCACCUCCCGGGUUCAAGCGACUCUCGUGCCUCAGCCUCCUGAGUAGCUGGGAUUACAGGCACCUGCCACCAUGCCCAGCUAAUUUUUAUAUUUUUAAGAGAUGGGGGUUCACCAUGUUGGCCAGGCUGGUCUCAAACUCCUGACCUCAGGCGAUCCGCCCACCUUGGCCUCCCAAAGUGCUGGUUUUGCAGAUGGGAGCCACCAUGCCCAGCCUAGUCUCACUUUAUAGGCUCCCAAACCACAGCAGAACACCUGGCUGCCUCAUCCCUCUGCACCCAUCACGCCAGUGGGCAUGCUGGCUGUAGGUGGGGAUGGCCUUUGCCCGGGUUCCUGGGAGCACCUGGUGUUUUAUGGUCACCUACCCACUUACACCUGACCCUGGGGCCUCUGCAGUUUUCUUGGCGUUGUCACCACAAAAGGAAGAAGCCCACCUGUGGCUGGCUGGCUGGCCGCCAGGUCAGAGCCAAGGCAGGCAGGGCCUUCCUGUCUGGCUUCUUGAAGGCAGACACAAGUCUGCAGGCUGCUCACGUCAUCUCAUUAUCUUUUCUCACGAGGACUACUUCGGAUACAAUCACAGCAACCCUGGCCUCGGCCCUGCCCUGUCCCUGCCAUGCAACUUCACAACUCAGCUGGCCUAGACCCCUGGGAGGCCUCCAAGUCCCUAAGCGGUUCCAGUUUGUGGAAGUCCCAGGCAAUCACUGUGUCCACAUGAGCGAACCCCAGCACGUGGCCAGUAUCAUCAGCUCCUUCUUACAGUGCACACACACGCUCCCAGCCCAGCUGUAGCUCUGGGCCUGGAACUAUGAAGACCUAGUGCUCCCAGACUCAACACUGGGACUCUGAGUUCCUGAGCCCCACAACAAGGCCAGGGAUGGUGGGGACAGGCCUCACUAGUCUUGAGGCCCAGCCUAGGAUGGUAGUCAGGGGAAGGAGCGAGAUUCCAACUUCAACAUCUGUGACCUCAAGGGGGAGACAGAGUCUGGGUUCCAGGGCUGCUGUCUCCUGGCUAAUAAUCUCCAGCCAGCUGGAGGAAGGAAGGGCGGGCUGGGCCCACCUAGCCUUUCCCUGCUGCCCAACUGGAUGGAAAAUAAAAGGUUCUUGUAUUCUCACUGCUUUUGAGGCUUUUUCGUUGCCAGCAAGGGCUUUUGCAUUGAGGGAAAAGGAAGCACAGAACGGAUUCAUCCAGGGUCCUGGAGAGGAGGGUGUGGAGGCAAGAAGCAGGAAGGACAAGUCCUCCUCUCGGCACGCCUGGGUCCCCAGGACUGCUGAAGCACAAGACCCGAGGGGUGGCCUGGUCCUUCCCUCCUGGCCUGUGUGGACUCUGAUGGGGCUGUUGGACGCGGUGGCCUUCAACCUGGGGCCCGUUGGCCAGAGCUCGGCCUCUCAGAGACCGCUGCAGGCCCUGCCUCGCCUCCUCCUGGCCCUGCACCUCCAGCCAUUCACUGCGGCUCUCACAGCUCAGUACGGUCGGAAUUUGCGCUGGGCCCGCAGCAGCUCGAUCCUCUGCUUGUCCUCCUCGAACUUCUUGCGCAGCUGCGCUAG
rnacentral:lncRNA from 1 species